AUUAGAAGCAGCUAGAGCUCCGUUAUGCAGCUACAAGAACAGACUGUUGGGUGCUUAAGGCUAAACAUGAAGCUUCAGCGUGGGCGCACAUUUCCAGGGGCUCUUUGUAAAUUGGUUGGAUCCAAACCGGAAAUAUGGGAUGAAUAUUUGGAUGCAGUGAUGUUUGGGCUGCGAACAAAGAAGCAAACAACAAGAAGUCUCCCCAUAUUUUUUAAUGUUUGGUCGGGAAGCCCGCUACCCUACAGAAAUCCCAGAGGACUUUCAGACGGACAGCAGUGUGGAGGAAAUUGUGGGAGAGGAGACCGUACCGGAAGACAUUAGGCGGCUUGACGAGGUCAGGGCCAUCGUCAUGGAGAAUGUCUCCAAAUCGCAACGUAAGCAGACAAUGCAUUCCAGAGGCAGCAAAGUCAGCUUUGCAGUUGGAGAUAAAGUUUGGCGGCAAAUUGUAAGGAACCAGCAACGUAAGGGUGGGAAGUUGGAGUCCAAUUUUCUUGGCCCCUUCACCAUCACGGCAGUGGAGGGGAAAAGCACUGAUCUGCUUGGGGACGAUGGGACAGUUUUUUAAAAAAUUAACACUGACCACUUGAAGCACUUCGGGCAGCAAACUAUGCGGAUUCCUCACAGGACCGACCGCCACACCUGUUGCCUCAGGAGGAACUGCUGCAUACACAGAUGCAGAAACCCAAAAAUAUCUAGAUGCAUUGUGGACUGGGAAGCAUUCCAGUGACCAGGUGAUUCUCUCCAAAAUUGGAAAUUACAAAUUGUUUUGCUGGGACCUUGCCAGGAUUGCUCCUGACCAAGAGCUGCAGAGUGAGGUAAAAAAAAUCUUGCAUUUUUGCAUUAUUGACUCUCGCUGCAUUAGAGCUUGUUUGAAUUGAAAGUACUGAUCUAAGAAUGUUUGGAUAAUUUGUGUAUGUGGUGCUUCAGUAGUUGCUCCAGCUAGGGACUACAGGGCCGUAUUUUUAUCAUUGCAGUAUAUAAAUCAGUGUUUUAAAUGUGUGGUUUGGAAAUGCACAAAAUCUUAGAUCGUUUUCUUCUUCCAAGGUGAUCAAUGCCUACCUCAUCUUGGUUGUCCAACAGUACAACCAAAAAAA